rnacentral:rRNA from 1 species
AGAUGAGUUCUCCCUGAGACUUUGAGUCUCCUGAAGGAACGUUAAAGACGAUGACGUUGAUAGGCCGGGUGUGUAAGCGCAGCGAUGCGUUGAGCUAACCGGUACUAAUGAACCGUGAGGCUUAACCUU